GAUCUCUGGUUACCCAAGGCAGGCUCUUUAACCAGCCAAACAAAGCACAGUGCCAGAAUAACCCACUCACUCCUGAUGACAGGAUUUCUUGUUCUUUUUAGGGUCAGUUUCAGGUCCAGUGGUCUGAUUUUGAAGAAUUAUCGGGGUGUGAAAUCAACUCUCUCAUCAGCUGAGAACGGAGGCUACAGGGAGGCGCCGUUAUCGCUCAGAAAAGAUGCAGCACAAACAACCUGCCAGCCCCCGCGUGAAUUCGUUAACGGAAACACUGGUUGUGACCUGCAGUGAACUUUGGAAACGAAUUUAAAACUCACCUUGAUCAGCGUUCCUUAAUGAGGAGUCGGGAGAGGAAGGAUCCUCAUUAUUCCCUCUUCGCUACCUCCUCUCUACAACCCCAUUCCAAAGCGACUGACCUUCAACAGAAUGUAUUUCUAUAAAGAUAAAAACAACGAAACUCCCAAGACGUCUAUAUUUGCAAUAUACAGGGAAAACUAGGAAUUUAAUAGCUGAGUUCACGUCCUGCCAACAAAACUUAGAAGGAAUCAACAAACUUCAAGUUCAGGCGCAUAUGUGGUACCCUGUGGCCUAGCGAGAAGAUCGCAGAUGACAUGGGAGGCCUUCAUCUUCUGCAUCUGUCCGACCUUUUCAGCUCCUCUUCUGGUCACUCUGUCAAGGGGGCCUGGAACUCCUGAGAAGUGAAAGGACCAGCCCUAUCUCAGAUGGUGCGGGUUUCUUCACCCUGACCUCUGCCGUGUUUGCUUGGAGCCCCAGAGCUCAUCCUUCAAGGCCUUUUUAAAAAUAGCACAGCCUCUGUCAAGCCUUCUUGAAAAAUUAAAUUUUUUAUUGUAAAAACUUUCAAACAUAUAAAGAAUGUGAAAGAAUAGGCAAUUAUCUGUAUACUCAUCACCCACAUUCAAUAAUUGACAUUUUGCCGUCUUAGCCUCAUCUACCUAUUUCUACUGAAUCAUAUGAAACUCACUUGCAGACAUUAUGAUAUAGAACACCAAAAUCCAUAAACAUGUGUCGCCUAAACAUGCGUCUUUUAUUUAACUACAAUAUCAUGAACAAAACUAAAACAAUCGAGCAAUUCUUUAAAAAUAUCUCAUAUCUGGUUGGGUGCAGUGGCUCACGCCUGUAACGUUUUGGAAUGCUGACGCGGGAUUUCGUGACCCCAGGGUUUGAGAGCACCUGUAACAAAACAAGCCCUUCUCUUGUGCCUCUGUACAAAACAGAUUUUAAAAAAUCAGCCUGGCCUGGUGGCGCGCUCCCGUAAUCCCAGCUACUCCGGAAUUUUAGGCGGGAGGAUGGCUUGAGCUCAGGAGUUCAAGGUUACAGUGAUGACGCCACUGCAUUCCAGCCUGGGCGACGGAAAGAAACUCUAAAUAAGUGACUAAAAACAUCUGAGUAUUUAUUUAUCUAAUAUAUUUUUAGAGUCAGUUUUUAUGUUUCCUAUUCUUUCACAUUAGAACAGUUCCCCAGCUUUUUCUUUUUAUUGUUAUUUCCUCAUGACAUCUUUUAAUCUUCCCCUCCCUCCCUCCCUUCUUCCCUUCCUCCCUUCCUCCCUUCCUUCCCCCAGCCUGGGAAACACAGGGAGAUCCGGUCUCUACAAAAAACAGAAAAAUAAUUAGCCAGGCCUGGUGGUGUGUGCCUGUGGUCCCAGCUACUCGGGAGGCUGAGGUGAGGAUCACCUGAUCACCGGAAGUCGAGGCUGCAGUGAGCCGUGAUUUCACCACUGCACUCCAGCCCUGGGCGACAGAGCGAGACCCUGUCUCAAAACAAAGCAAACAAAACAAAAUAAGCAAAAAAGUCUAAUUGUCUCAUAGAAUGUCCUACAUUCUGGAUUUGUCUCAUUAUUUCCUUAUGGCAUCUUUUAAUUUAUUUUUGUUCCUUUUAAAUUAGAAGAUAAAUCUAAAUGAUUGCUUUUGUGAUUAAUUUGAGUGAUUAGAUUUAGGUUAAACAUU